rnacentral:lncRNA from 10 species
GGGUAAUCACUCUCUCCCUGGUCCCUUAGGGCUGGGGUUUGUGAUGGCCUCCCACUGUGUGACUCCGGGUGCCUUAGUCCCCUGCUGAAUUCCAGGCCCUGCUGUGCCUCUGCAGGGUCUGUGUACCCUCUGCUCUGUGGCUCCUCCGAGCACACAGUCUCAUCAUCACUGUCAUGAAUUGUCGUAGAAAAGUCCUAAAUCCCAGAGUUUGCAAUGGUCUUUUUUGCACCAGUUAGAAAACACACCACCUUUGGAAGCAAUUAACCUCUUGUGGUUCAGGUGUAUUCAGGAGUCCAUGCAGCAGGAAGUGGAGCCAUCAUCACAGGGUACGAAGGGAGGACAAGUGCAGUGUCGUGAGCAUGUACAGAGGGAAGUUGACAGCGGGGAGAGGCUUUGCUGAGGAAGUGGCGUUUGGAAGAACGAGAAUGAGGCCUCAGUCUCGACAAUUCCUUCUGCCUGUGAGAGCUGGUGGUGGUGACAUCUGACUCACUGCAGGGUCUAUGGGAGAAGAACUGUGAUUUUACUGUGUAUUCCUGACAAAGAAUGGGUCUAGUCCAAUAACUUCCUUUGGGCGCCUUGCUCUGCUGUGCUCAAAUGACUGACCCCACGUUUCUUUAGGUGCACACGAGCUGUCUGUCACCUGUCUGCCAUGUUGUGAGCUGCCCUACUGAAAAUCUCCUUGCAGUACCGGCCUACAAAUGUACCGUUAGGAAGCUGUUCUCUUCAAGAGCAGGCUUGGAAGCUAGAGAGGACUGAGAUUGCAGCUGUGGUCUGAAGGGCUGUGUGUGAACGGGGGAGCCAGAGAGACUUGGAUCUAUCAGUCAGGGUUUUCUAGAGAAGCAGAACCAAUAAGAAGGAAAGAACAAGAGUUAUGAUGAGGAAUUGGCUCACAUGAUUAUGGAGGCUGAUGAGUCCCAAGAUCCGUGGGAUGAGUUGGGGAGCUGGGGGCCCGUGAGAGCCAAUGGUGCAGUGCAGCAAGGUGCUACGGACCCCGGCAGACAGGUGUGGAUGAUAUUCUUUGCCAACUGCCUUUGGACAACCUCAGAUUUCACCACGGUCAACAAAUAGAGUUACCUCUGACUUCAGUUUGGAAAUUUUUUUUUUUUUGCAGGGAAUUCUUUGUAGAUUUUCAAACUGCUGUUGAUUAGUUUGUCAAUAAAAUUUAUUGAGUGCCUUCCCAUGUGCCAAGAACUACUACUUUCCUUGACUGUCUCAUGCAGUUGCCCCACAGCUGGGCGAGGUGAUCCCAGGACCCCCGUGAGGCCAUGCAGCGAGCGCUGGCUGGAGUCAGGGUUGGAACCCAGAGUCUAUCUGCACCAUUAGCUACU